AACUUCCACUGGUUGAUCGAAGAUGGUGUGGACACCACAGCCAGCAACAACAAUGAAUAUACUUACGAUCGGAUUGUGGUGUAUGGAGAUGUAAUGCUGAAUGCUGUUGUUCCAAAUUCUGCAAAAUCAUUCAACUUCCAGAAGGAGUACGAACUGACAGAUGAGGAGGCGCGGAGAGUGAGUGACCACUAUCCAGUACAAGUGAAGCUGGAGUAAACAUGUAAGCAGCUUAAAUGUUGAACAAAGAUGAGACAUUUGUGGACAAGAAAAGUGUGCCUCCGGAGAUCAGAUGGAGAAGCUUGUAGAAACACUUCUGUGAUUGUUUACAU